rnacentral:misc_RNA from 1 species
UCCGAUUUGUCACCGGCAGUCUCCUAUGAGUCCCCGUCUUUCACGCUGGCAACAUAGGACAGAGGUUGCGCUCGUUGCGGGACUUAACCCAACAUCUCACGACACGAGCUGACGACAGCCAUGCAGCACCGUCUCACUCGCUCCCCAGAAGGGCACCCCGCCAUCUCUGGCAGGUUCGAGUGGAUUUAACCCAGGUAAGGUUCUUCGCGUCGCAUCGAAUUAAGCCGCAUGCUCCGCCGCUUGUGCGGGGCCCCGUCAAUUCCUUUGAGUUUUAGCCUUGCGGCCGUACUCCCCAGGCGGGGUGCUUAAUGCGUUAGCUUCGGCACGGACGGGGUCGAUAUCCGCCCACACCUAGCACCCAACGUUUACGGCUAGGACUAC